GAUGAAGAACGUAGCGAAAUGCGAUAAGUAAUGUGAAUUGCAGAAUUCAGUGAAUCAUCGAAUCUUUGAACGCACAUUGCGCCCGCCAGUAUUCUGGCGGGCAUGCCUGUUCGAGCGUCAUUACAACCAUCAAGCCCCGGGCUUGUGUUGGGGACCUGCGGCUGCCGCAGGCCCUGAAAAGCAGUGGCGGGCUCGCUGUCACACCGAGCGUAGUAGCAUACAUCUCGCUCUGGGCGUGCUGCGGGUUCCGGCCGUUAAACCACCUUUUAACCCAAGGUUGACCUCGGAUCAGGUAGGAAGACCCGCUGAACUUAAGCAUAUCAAUAAGCGGAGGA
rnacentral:misc_RNA from 1 species